rnacentral:rRNA from 1 species
GGAGGGAAACGAAUGCAGCUGAAGUGGUUCUCCGUCAGGCUCAGGAGACGUCGGCGGGUCCUGCCAGGCAUCGGGAGCCGAAAGGCCCCGGUGCCCCCUGGGGCUCCCGUCUGCAAUUCUGCGGAGAGCCGGCCAACGGCAGUUGCUCCCGGCUCAGGAGGGGAACGUAUAGCCCCCCGCGACUGAGGAGAGCAGUGCAGGCCCCGGGGCUGGGCCGCUCCCGUCGAGGCCGCGUCGUGCAGUGGACGACGACGGUCCGCCUCCCCGGUGGGAGGCCGGUCACACCUUGUGCUGCGGUCGUUGGUGCCCGAAUGGCUGCAUCCGACCCGUCUUGAAACACGGACCAAGGAGUGCAACAUGCGCGCGAGUCUCGGGGUGGCAAACCCGUCGGCGCAAUGAAAGUGAAGGCAGACCCCAUCGUCGACCGAUCCCAGGCUACGCUGUGGCGGGAUUUGAGUGAGAGCGUGCCUGUUGCGACCCGAAAGAUGGUGAACUAUGCCUGAAUAGGGCGAAGCCAGAGGAAACUCUGGUGGAAGCUCGCAGCGAUUCUGACGUGCAAAUCGAUCGUCAAAUUUGGGUAUAGGG